UAUGUAGGUGGCAAGCGUUGUCCGGAUUUACUGGGCGUAAAGAGCGCGCAGGCGGUCGUUCAAGUCGCGUGUGAAAGCCCCCGGCUCAACUGGGGAGGGUCACGCGAUACUGAUCGACUCGAAGGCAGGAGAGGGUAGUGGAAUUCCCGGUGUAGUGGUGAAAUGCGUAGAUAUCGGGAGGAACACCAGUGGCGAAGGCGACUACCUGGCCUGUUCUUGACGCUGAGGCGCGAAAGCUAGGGGAGCAAACGGG
rnacentral:rRNA from 1 species